CCUACGGGUGGCAGCAGUGAGGAAUAUUGGUCAAUGGACGAGAGUCUGAACCAGCCAAGUAGCGUGAAGGAUGACUGCCCUAUGGGUUGUAAACUUCUUUUAUAAAGGAAUAAAACGAGCCACGUGUGCCUUUUUGUAUGUACUUUAUGAUUAAGGAUCGGCUAACUCCAUGCCAGCAGCCGCGGUAAUACGGAGGAUCCGAGCGUUAUCCGGAUUUAUUGGGUUUAAAGGGAGCGUAGAUGGGUUGUUAAGUCAGUUGUGAAAGUUUGCGGCUCAACCGUAAAAUUGCAAUUGAUACUGGCAGUCUUGAGUACAGUUGAGGUAGGCGGAAUUCGUGGUGUAGCGGUGAAAUGCUUAGAUAUCACGAAGAACCCCGAUUGCGAAGGCAGCUUACUAAACUGUGACUGACAUUGAUGCUCGAAAGUGUGGGUAUCAAACAGGAUUAGAUACCCAUGUAGUC
rnacentral:rRNA from 1 species